rnacentral:rRNA from 1 species
CCUACGGGAGGCAGCAGUGAGGAAUAUUGGUCAAUGGACGCGAGUCUGAACCAGCCAAGUCGCGUGCAGGAAGACGGCCCUAUGGGUUGUAAACUGCUUUUGUCCGAGGGCAAACGCAGCUACGCGUGUCUGUCUGAAAGUAUCCUACGAAAAAGCAUCGGCUAACUCCGUGCCAGCAGCCGCGGUAAUACGGAGGAUUCGAGCGUUAUCCGGAUUUAUUGGGUUUAAAGGGUGCGCAGGCGGAAGAUUAAGUCAGCGGUAAAAUUGAGAGGCUCAACCUCGUCGAGCCGUUGAAACUGGUUUUCUUGAGUGAGCGAGAAGUAUGCGGAAUGCGUGGUGUAGCGGUGAAAUGCAUAGAUAUCACGCAGAACUCCGAUUGCGAAGGCAGCAUACCGGCGCUCAACUGACGCUGAUGCACGAAAGUGUGGGUAUCGAACAGGAUUAGAUACCCCAGUAGUC